rnacentral:rRNA from 1 species
UACGUAGGGUGCGAGCGUUGUCCGGAAUUAUUGGGCGUAAAGAGCUUGUAGGCGGUUUGUCGCGUCUGCCGUGAAAAUCCGGGGCUCAACCCCGGACUUGCGGUGGGUACGGGCAGACUAGAGUGUGGUAGGGGAGACUGGAAUUCCUGGUGUAGCGGUGAAAUGCGCAGAUAUCAGGAGGAACACCGAUUGCGAAGGCAGCUCGCUGGGACGUUACUGACGCUGAGACGCGAAAGCGUGGGGAGCAAACAGG